GACGGAGGGCGCUAGCGUUGUUCGGAAUCACUGGGCGUAAAGGGCGCGUAGGCGGCCUGUUAAGUCGGGGGUGAAAGCCCGGGGCUCAACCCCGGAACGGCCUUCGAGACUGGCGGGCUCGAGACCGGGAGAGGAGGGUGGAAUACCCAGUGUAGAGGUGAAAUUCGUAGAUAUUGGGUGGAACACCGGUGGCGAAAGCGGCUCUCUGGUCCGGUUCUGACGCUGAGGCGCGAAAGCGUGGGGAGCAAACAGG
rnacentral:rRNA from 1 species